rnacentral:lncRNA from 1 species
AAAGACUGCUGUUUCAGCAAGGUUUCUUCGCUGGUCUGUGGCAAGGUCCCUGCUUCAUUUUCAAGGUGUCCUCACUUGGUGCUUUUGAAGGGUUUUUAAUGGAUUCGCUUGAUAUACCUUCCAAAUGGAGUACUUUGUGCGUUAAUUCAGUUUGUGAUAAAGAUCCCUUUUACCCUCCUUUUCAUAAUUCUUCCCCGAGAUAUGAAGUACACUAGAAGGUUAGAUGUGGCAUUUAAUUUUUCCACAAAACCUAUCCAGCGAGGGGGGAAAAAAAGAUUCAAUUUCAUUACUAUUCAUGUGUAAGAAUAUUGAAGGUGGUAUCCUAAAGGAGAUAACUAUUUCUUCUUCUAUCAAAGGAAGAACAAAUCUGUCUUUGAACGAGUAGCUCAAUUCUUAUUUAAAAGAUAAAAGGUCACCUACAAUCCUCAUUCCUUUAAAGCUCUGGUAGUCGGCGAGGAAGGAAGCUGUCUUACCUCGACAUACUAAUUUUCAGUGUUGCUUGAAAAAACCUGCUCGGUCGUGUAUUGACUAGUCUCCGCCUCCGCCUUCCGAGAGUCUCUUGGCAUCUGGGUUUUCCCCUGACCCUCAGUGGACAGAGCCAACGAGGGUCUGGGUUUCUCGUUUUUAGACCCAGUCUGAGAAUUAGAAAACAGAAGUCUGACUUAGGGAUUUCUCAGAAACGAGUCCUCGGGACUCAGGGCCUGCACCUGACAGUCUGAUCUCUACACUGUGGAAUCCAGCAUCGUCUGGGGUCCUUGUCUCUUGGGACUGGUCGGCAUCUACAACUGGGGUCGAGCAGUGUCUGCCAGGAAUUCAUGACAAGACGCGCAUCCUUUCUCAUUAAGUAUGGGACCAUGAGAACCAACACACUUUCAGAGACAUGUUAAGAACCAUGUUUUGUUCGGUGUUUUUAGACCAAGCCAGAGCCAGGCAGAGUUAGAGUAAGAACAGUUUCCGUUACACGUUGUUGAACUGAAGUCAGCAAUUACACAUGUAUUCUCCGUGGGUGUGGUCACCAAGGCGUAAUAGCACGUUGUCCAUCAUCUAAUGGGAGGUUUGCUCAUUGAGAAAACUAACAUUGCUUGUUGAAGCUUUGCCCGCCCCCGCCGGGAGUGAUUUUGAUUUGCUACCUUUGUUUUAUGAGACUUUUGCCAAUCUCUUCAUUUUCUCAUAAUUUUUGUCUUUUUAGGGCCACACCCAUGGCCUGUGGAAGUUGCCAGGUUAGGUGUCAAAUGGGAGCCGCAGCUGCCAGCCCACACCACAGUCUCAGCAACUUGGGACCCGAGCCCUGUCUACGACCUACACCACAGCUCACGGCACUGCUGGCUCCUUAACCCAGAAAGUGAAGCCAGGGGUCGAACUCGCAGCCUCAUGGUUACUGGUUGGGUUCAUUACCCCCUGCCCCGAGCCAUGACAGGAACUCCCAGUCUCUUUAUUGUACAUCCUGUUGACGCAAUUAUGUAAUAGCCAUCAUAGUAAUUAUAAUAAUAAAAAGUAACUAAAGGAGAUUGGAGCGGCUGUGGAGGGUGCUGUUUGGUUUGAAAUGAAUAAACAGUCUGUCCUGUAGGAAAUCUUGGAUGGAUUUUCAUCUGUUCAGUGUGUCUGGUUAUAUGGCUGGUCUGCCUGCCUCAAGGCCUCCCUGCCUUCUCUGCUCCCACAUCCUCAUGGGCUGUCCACUCAAUGACCAGUGCAGCCCUAAGCACGCCGAGAAGCCCAGUCCCAAUUACGGAAGGCUGUUUGGAUUUGCCAGUUAUGUUCCAUUAUCUCAGCCAGCUAACCAGUCUAGGGGUGUACAGUGUUUUCUGUAGAAACGAGUCGAAUGCUGUGUUAGGCAGCUUUCACGUGCUUUUUCGCCAGAACAAACAGCCCGAAAGCCCAGUAGCUUCAGGAACGCACAUUUUUCACGCGUGUUACCUAUCGUCUGUGGGUUGGCUGCUGCUGUUCUUCUUUUGUUCUAGUCCCGUCUGCAUUCUCGGAGACGGCUGAAGGUGAGGUCCCCGGUGGGAAGAUGCUAUUGUUAACAGGAAAGAGAAAGAACAGAGGUCAAACCAUACAGCGGUUCUUAGAGGGUCUGCCUCGGACAGGGCACAGCACUGCUUCUCUCGUUCCACCGGCCAAAGUAAAUCACGUCUCCAGGCCAGACGGCAGUGGGCUCAUCCAGGAAGGGCUGCGGAUACCUGCGAGCCGUAGUAGGGGGAACGCAGAUGGGGUCAAGAGGCUCCGACACACUUUGACCACAGACUCAAGACUUCCAAAGGGAGCUGGAUCCUGGGGACACCGACACCCGUGCCGUAGAGUUCCUUAUGGUUUCGGAGAUACCCGUGUGUCGGCCGCUGUUGGUGGACAGAGCCUGAUCACAGCGUGGUGAUGAGCUAUUCUUCCAGGAGUGCUGUGUUCCCAGGUGAUCCCAGGAAAGAUGUAUAAAUAGACAAGAGUGAAAAGCAGUUAAAAGGAUCCCAAAAGAUACGUGAAGGAUGGUGAAGUGGCCUGGGUGUUUUGUGGAUUUUUGUUGGUGUGUUUGUUUUUAAGAAGGUAAAACUUGGAGCUUGGGCGAGUUCUGAUGCACUGUCGCAUGAGGGGGGCCCCUCUCUCUGUUAUGGUAGGAAGUCCCACUUUCCUUCUGCACUGACAGCAUAGGCAGCAUGGGGCACGAGCCUUUUGUUGUCUCACGGGUGCGUUGGAGGGCACGAUGCCUGUCAUCCUGCAGGGUUUUGCGGGAACGAGGACCAUCCUGUCUAAGGCACCCGCCAACGUCCCCGAGGCAUGGCCUAAGCGCUCAGGAAUUACUACGUGUCAGUACGUGUCUCAUUUCUUCCAGAAGCCAUGGGGUCGCUGCUGAGCCUGUGUUUCACUGCUCUCUGCCCCCCUCCUCCACCCCCCACCCACCCCGUUCUGAGGGCUCCUCAUCAAACCAAGUGGAUGUUUGUGGGGUCAGCUGGUAGACCUGCCUUUGCAGGAGACGGCUGUCCUCCCACUUCUCUUGGCCUUCAGCAGGGGCGUCCUCCUUCCCUCCCUGCAAAGCCUGCAGCCCACCAUCCUGGGGAGUUUGCCCCACAGCAGGUGCGCUCCACCUGGCCCACAGCCCUCAAUCCCAUCAAAGUUGAAAUCACCAGUAUUGUCACUGUGUGAAUGUCCCAGGCAGUGACAGUAGACGCUUAGGAAGCCUGGCCAGGCCCCGACAGGGGGAAUGUUCCUGCUCUUUGGGAAAAACUUGUUAGCAGAGAACGUUUUCCAACAUUGGAACCUCCGGGAGCUCCCGUCGUGGCGCAGUUGUUAACGAAUCCGACUAGGAACCAUGAGGUUGCAGGUUCGAUCCCUGGCUUUCUCACUGGGUUAAGGAUCCAGCGUUGCUGUGAGCUGUGGUGUAGGCCGGUGGCUACAGCUCCGAUUAGACCCCUAGCCUGGGAACCAACAUAUGCUGUGGGAGCAGCCCUGGAAA